GGGGGGAAUAUUGCGGAUAUACCAACCAGAGAGGCUAACUUACUGAAAACACUGCAAAUGAAAUCGGUCUCGAAAACCGGAGUGGGGGCAACUCCACCGGGGGUUCAAAUCCCCCUCUCUCCGCCA
rnacentral:tRNA from 1 species